CCUACGGGAGGCAGCAGUAAGGAAUAUUGGUCAAUGGGCGGAAGCCUGAACCAGCCAUGCCGCGUGCAGGAAGACGGCCCUACGGGUUGUAAACUGCUUUUGUACCGGAAUAAACCUUGAUAUGUAUAUCAAGCUGAAUGUACGGUAAGAAUAAGGAUCGGCUAACUCCGUGCCAGCAGCCGCGGUAAUACGGAGGAUCCAAGCGUUAUCCGGAUUUAUUGGGUUUAAAGGGUGCGUAGGUGGCUUAUUAAGUCAGGGGUGAAAGACGGUAGCUUAACUAUCGCAGUGCCUUUGAUACUGAUGAGCUUGAAUCCACUAGAGGUAGGCGGAAUGUGACAAGUAGCGGUGAAAUGCAUAGAUAUGUCACAGAACACCAAUUGCGAAGGCAGCUUACUAUGGUGGUAUUGACACUGAGGCACGAAAGCGUGGGGAUCAAACAGGAUUAGAUACCCUGGUAGUCCACGCCCUAAACGAUGAAUACUCGAUGUGUGAUAUACGUACGAGCGUCUAGACGAAGACGUUAAGUUAUUACCUACCGUACGGGUAGGUACGGCCCGCCGACGGGUAGGUAAACGUUAAAGUUAAGUAAGUUAGUACGGCGUGAGACGUAGCCGACGGACGACGACGAGGGAGGAGGG
rnacentral:rRNA from 1 species